rnacentral:rRNA from 1 species
AUUGAACGCUGGCGGCAUGCCUUACACAUGCAAGUCGAACGGCAGCACGGGGCAACCUGGUGGCGAGUGGCGAACGGGUGAGUAAUGCAUCGGAACGUACCUUUCAGUGGGGGAUAACGUAGCGAAAGUUACGCUAAUACCGCAUAUUCUGUGAGCAGGAAAGCAGGGGAUCGCAAGACCUUGCGCUGAUUGAGCGGCCGAUGUCAGAUUAGCUAGUUGGUGAGGUAAAGGCUCACCAAGGCGACGAUCUGUAGCGGGUCUGAGAGGAUGAUCCGCCACACUGGAACUGAGACACGGUCCAGACUCCUACGGGAGGCAGCAGUGGGGAAUUUUGGACAAUGGGGGCAACCCUGAUCCAGCUAUGCCGCAUGAGUGAAGAAGGCCUUCGGGUUGUAAAGCUCUUUCGGCCGGGAAGAAAUCGCACGGGCUAAUACCCUGUGUGGAUGACGGUACCGGAAUAAGAAGCACCGGCUAACUACGUGCCAGCCGCCGCAGUAA